CAACCACACAGAACUUUCCUUUUGGUGCAACAAACAAGAAAAAGAGGAAAACAAAGAAGCGCAAUUUCUUGGAAUAGUUUUGUGGGAUUGAGGGCAUAUGCACGUACAAAUGGGUGAGUAAGAAGGCCUUUUUGUCUAGAGGUAGUUUGCCAAACACAGCCUCAGCCAGUUGUGUGUGAAAAGCAUGAUAGUGAGGGCGUAGAAAGUGGGACUCUCUUAUGUCAUUCGACCCCCAAAAAGGAACUCUCCCCUUCCUCACGUAUAUAAGGGCCCCAUGAAAAACAAUGCAUGGCCAUAUCAAAAUCAAACAGUUUCUCUCUCUCUUCCUCUCUCUCUCUCUCUCUCUCCCUCUCUCUCUCUGUGAGUGAACAGUUGAGGGGAACGCUGUCUGGUUCGAGACCACUCGCUUCAAGUACAGACAUAAUCUGAAUGAUCUCGGACCAGGCUUCAUUCCCCCCAACUCAACAGUCUUCUAUCUCUAUAUGCAGUAAGCCCCAUUCUGUUGGCAAACCUUCAUGCUUUUCAUUGAUCAAUGGCUCAACUUCUCAACCUUCCCAUGUCUGAUCUUUCCUUCCUCAAUUGGGUUUUUAUUCCUUUUUCUCCUAAGAACUCCAAUCCAAAGUUCCCGACGAACAUAUGCUCAUACUGAGCUAAGGGAGGAGGCAAUCUGCAGCGAUUUGAGCAGAAGAGUUUAUACCCCCCAAAAGGCAACCUGAAAAACCUUGAUCACAGAGGAUAUAUUCCAUGAGAAUUUGUCCAUCAACAGAUUUAAACUGAGUUCUAAUUUCAAGCAGAUUAAGAAAAAACUAUUGGUGUAAUGUAAUUUUUUCUUGUCGGUUGUUACUGGGUGCUUUAUCAUGCAAGUUGCUUAAGAAUAUUGACUGUAGAACAAAUUUGUUAUGAAAAGCUAAAUAGGACUGUUUCAAAAGAGUAUCUGGUGGAAGUUAUUUUCAUCAAGCUUCACUUUUUGGUCAGAGAAAAACCCCAUUAAAAAUAAUUUUUUUCCUGAA